rnacentral:rRNA from 1 species
GUACACGAGCGGCGAACGGGUGAGUAACACGUGGGUGAUCUGCCCUGCACUUCGGGAUAAGCCUGGGAAACUGGGUCUAAUACCGGAUAUGACCACUGGGUGCAUGCCUGGUGGUGGAAAGGUUUACUGGUGCAGGAUGGGCCCGCGGCCUAUCAGCUUGUUGGUGGGGUAAUGGCCUACCAAGGCGACGACGGGUAGCCGACCUGAGAGGGUGACCGGCCACACUGGGACUGAGACACGGCCCAGACUCCUACGGGAGGCAGCAGUGGGGAAUAUUGCACAAUGGGCGAAAGCCUGAUGCAGCGACGCCGCGUGAGGGAUGAAGGCCUUCGGGUUGUAAACCUCUUUCAGCAGGGACGAAGCGCAAGUGACGGUACCUGCAGAAGAAGCACCGGCUAACUACGUGCCAGCAGCCGCGGUAAUACGUAGGGUGCGAGCGUUGUCCGGAAUUACUGGGCGUAAAGAGUUCGUAGGCGGUUUGUCGCGUCGUCUGUGAAAACCCAUCGCUCAACGAUGGGCCGGCAGGCGAUACGGGCAGACUUGAGUACUGCAGGGGAGACUGGAAUUCCUGGUGUAGCGGUGAAAUGCGCAGAUAUCAGGAGGAACACCGGUGGCGAAGGCGGGUCUCUGGGCAGUAACUGACGCUGAGGAACGAAAGCGUGGGUAGCAAACAGGAUUAGAUACCCUGGUAGUCCACGCCGUAAACGGUGGGCGCUAGGUGUGGGUUCCUUCCACG